GGACGAACGCUGGCGGCGUGCUUAACACAUGCAAGUCGAACGGAAAGGCCCUGCUUUUGUGGGGUGCUCGAGUGGCGAACGGGUGAGUAACACGUGAGUAACCUGCCCUUGACUUUGGGAUAACUUCAGGAAACUAGGGCUAAUACCGGAUAGGAGCUCCUGCUGCAUGGUGGGGGUUGGAAAGUUUCGGCGGUUGGGGAUGGACUCGCGGCUUAUCAGCUUGUUGGUGGGGUAGUGGCUUACCAAGGCUUUGACGGGUAGCCGGCCUGAGAGGGUGACCGGCCAGAUUGGGAGAGAGUGGCGCCCCGGGCGCCUGCGGGAGGAAGCAGGGGGGAGUAGUGCACAAUGGGCGGCAGCUUGAUGCAGCAACGCCGCGUGCAGGAUGACGGACUUCCGGUUGUAGACAGCGUUCCCCUGGGACAAAGCGUGAGUGACGCUAAUGUGAAAAGAGGCACCGGCUAACUACGUG
rnacentral:rRNA from 1 species